UACGAAGGUGGCAAGCGUUGUUCGGAUUUACUGGGCGUACAGGGAGCGUAGGCGGUUUUGGUAAGCCCUCCGUGAAAUCUUCGGGCUCAACCCGGAAAGUUCAGAGGGACUGCCAGGCUAGAGGACGGGAGAGGAGCGCGGAAUUCCCGGUGUAGCGGUGAAAUGCGUAGAGAUCGGGAGGAAGGCCGGUGGCGAAGGCGGCGCUCUGGAACGUUUCUGACGCUGAGGCUCGAAAGCGUGGGGAGCAAACAGG
rnacentral:rRNA from 1 species